AAACAGAAUAAAAACUCAUGGAUAUCAGGAGUGAAAGUAAUGGCCCCCCUACAGUGCAGUGCAUUAUAAAGGACGGUACGCUGAUCAGGAUGAACGUGAGUGCCGACUGCGAGGGAAAGUUCUUUGACGAUAAAUUCAUUAGCGAGGCCGCUGGGCGUCGGUGCUUUCGGAGUCCUCGUACCCAUGAGACGACACGUAUACGGUCCCCUUCGAAAAGUAACGGGACGGCAAGGCCAAUUCUUUUCCUCUUGCUAUACACUGAAGACAUUUGAGUUCGAGAUCCAAAGACGAAUGAGACGAUGGAUCGGAAUUUCCGUAUAUUUACCUCAAGAUGCGUUAGACAACUUUAGUCUGAACCCAAAAAAUAUCGGAACACGUGACUGUUUCGUUUUACCCAGGUGAGUCCUGUUAGAUUAACUGCUGAAAGAAGUGGAAGGUUUAAGACUGGCCGAGCCCGUCACCAGACCUUAACCCAACUGGGGAGAACCCAAACCUCCACGCCCCCCAAAAACAAAUAAAUAACUGAAAGAGGUAGUCGUAAAAGCCUGGAAAUGAGUAAACGUCGCUAUGCUUAAUACUGAAUCGUACUGCGACGAAACAUCUGCACGUCUUCACUUUUCCCCCGCACUCGUACCACCUUCAGGUUUAUACUUAAGGGGGAAUUUUAGCAAACGAAAACACCCUGCGGCUUAAAAAUAAACCCCAACGCGACACUACGAUCCUGGGAAAAGUGUAACCGAGGAGAAGCGGGAGAGCAGGACGGCGUCAGCGCUGAACUUUAGAUAAGGUGUGUAACGAUAUGGGUCAGAAGCAGACAAACAACUGAAGCUCUGUUAGACUGUGGACUUUGUCCUCGCGCUGAACUGCAGCGUGCGCGUUUCCGUUUCCUUCACGGGGAUCCUCAGAUCCGUGACGUUCGUGAUCUUCACGCUGUUAUCUGUUGGAUGGACGUGCCACGCCCCACAUCUGGAUGACAUCUUUAAAAAAACAUUUUAAGUGUAAAUAUUGAAAUGAUUUGAUUCUGUAUGUUGUCGCACUUCCUUUCGAUACGGGAAGUCAGACAGGGAGCGCGUCGAAGGGAAGGGCUCGAGAUUAGGGCCGUAUUGUGAUAAAAAGUCACGGUAGAUUCCCCCCCCGAGAUAUCGCUGGUACCGUGCUAUCUUUUAUUUGAAUAAUUACAGACUAGCAUGGACUCCAACCGUCUUUUCAACUCGCACAGGAUCCGAACCACGCGACCGACCCACGGCCGACGCUAGCUAGCCUCUUCUAUACGGAUAAAAGGGCGCUAACGGUGCGGGAACCUUCCAAGCUUUUUACUCUCAUCUUCAACACACAUUUCCCACACAUCCAGGUGAUGAUAAAAUUAGUAUUUUUUACAGUACAAAAGAUAAGCGAGAAGACUAGUACUCAUUUUCCCCCAAGAGUGUACAGCGAUAGAUAACAGGGGCGGGGCGGGGCGUGUCCGUUCGUUCUACACGAGCGUCCGAUUUGAUUGGAUGCAAAAUGCACGACAGCAUUUGUUUCCUCUGUAUACAAUUAACAUAGGAAACUAACAAAAACACCGCCGUCAUAUUUUGGUAUAUCCGAACAAA
ensembl:lncRNA